rfam:Methylobrevis pamukkalensis strain PK2 A6302_contig000216, whole genome shotgun sequence.
CCGUCAGGCCGGGCCCCUCUGGCAGCCAUCAGUGCUGCGAUGUCGGACUGAACGA